rnacentral:rRNA from 1 species
AGAGUUUGAUCCUGGCUCAGAUUGAACGCUGGCGGCAGGCCUAACACAUGCAUGUCGAGCGGUAGAGAGAAGCUUGCUUCUCUUGAGACGGCGGACGGGUGAGUAAUGCCUAGGAAUCUCCUGGUAGUGGGGGAUAACGUUCGGAAACGAACGCUAAUACCGCAUACGUCCUACGGGAGAAAGCAGGGGACCUUCGGGCCUUGCGCUAUCAGAUGAGCCUAGGUCGGAUUAGCUAGUUGGUGAGGUAAUGGCUCACCAAGGCUACGAUCCGUAACUGGUCUGAGAGGAUGAUCAGUCACACUGGAACUGAGACACGGUCCAGACUCCUACGGGAGGCAGCAGUGGGGAAUAUUGGACAAUGGGC